rnacentral:rRNA from 1 species
UACGAAGGGGGCGAGCGUUGUUCGGAUUUACUGGGCGUAAAGUGUGCGCAGGCGGCCGCGCAAGUCGAGUGUGAAAGCCCCGAGCUUAACUUGGGAAUUGCGCUCGAAACUACGUGGCUGGAGUGUGGCAGAGGAAGGUGGAAUUCCAGGUGUAGCGGUGAAAUGCGUAGAGAUCUGGAGGAACACCGAUGGCGAAGGCAGCCUUCUGGGCCAACACUGACGCUCAUGCACGAAAGCGUGGGGAGCAAACAGG